UACGGAGGGUGCGAGCGUUGUCCGGAAUCACGGGGCGUAAAGGGCGCGUAGGCGGCUGGGGAAGUCGGCGGUGAAAGCCCGGAGCUCAACUCCGGGUCGGCCGUCGAGACUCCUCGGCUCGAGCUCACUAGAGGCAGAUGGAAUUCCGGGUGUAGCGGUGGAAUGCGUAGAGAUCCGGAAGAACACCGGUGGCGAAGGCGGUCUGCUGGGGUGAGGCUGACGCUGAUGCGCGACAGCGUGGGGAGCAAACAGG
rnacentral:rRNA from 1 species